rnacentral:rRNA from 1 species
UACGUAGGGCGCAAGCGUUGUCCGGAAUUAUUGGGCGUAAAGAGCUCGUAGGCGGCUGCUCAAGUCGAAUGUGAAAACUCGAGGCUCAACCUCGAGCCUGCAUUCGAUACUGGGCGGCUAGAGUCUGGUAGGGGGAUCUGGAAUUCCUGGUGUAGCGGUGGAAUGCGCAGAUAUCAGGAGGAACACCGGUGGCGAAGGCGGGAUCCUGGGCCAGUACUGACGCUGAGGAGCGAAAGCGUGGGGAGCAAACAGG